GGGAAAGAGAGGGAGGGAGAGAGGGAAAAAGAGAGGGGGGUAGGGAGAGAGAAGAAAGGAAAAGAAGAUAGAGGGAGAAGGAGAGGGAGAGGGAGAGAGGGAGAGUGUUGGAGUCCAAAAAUUGAAAACAAUCUAAGCAGUCACAAGAGUCCAGCAAAGAAAGAUCUUUAUUUGAAUUAUUCAGCAAAAACUGUCCAGUCAGGGACAACAGAAUAGCCUUGAGAGCUGAUGUGUCUUUCAACAUUCAUCUUUAAGUAUUUAAACAGAUAACAAAAAGUUCAUUGCACUCAGGUUGCUAUUGAUCAACAAUCAGGACUACAGAAUAGGCUCCAGAGCUCAACUGCCGUUCUGAGCCAGAAUUUUUUUUUUUUUUUUGAAGAGUUAUUUGUUUGGACACACCAGAAGAGGGUAUCUGAUCUCAUUACAGGUUGUUGAGAGACACCAUGUGGCUUCUGGGAAUUGAACUCAGGACCUCUAGUAAGGAGAGGUCAGUGCUGUUAACAGCUGAGCCAUUAUGCUGGUCAUUCACAAUGGAAUGCUCAUCGUUCACAAGACCCAAGGAGAGUGAGAAGCCACCUCAGGCCAUGAGCUGGGGCAGGCUUGGAAAAACCCAAACGGUUACAAAUCCUAGCACCUGGAAGAUUAGAGACAGGAUGACCGGAGUUCAAAGCCACCCUCGGCUAUAGAGAAAUUUCAAGAACAAUUCUGGGUUAUAUAAGAUCCAUUUGCCAAAACAACUAAAAAAGAAACUUGUGAUUGCUAAUGGGAGACAUCUACCAGGUGAAAUCUGAAUUAGCUGGAAAAGUAAAGCCAACAAAAUUGACACAUCUUUUGAAUUUACUAUUAAAAUUCUGAGACACAAACAUGUCUGUGUGAUUUUCUGACAUCACUUGAUAAUAAUAACAGGAUAAUGAGAAUUGGAGUUUUAAGCUGUGCUCAAUUCUGAGCCCAAAUGAGGAACAGAUCCAAGCUGAUCCCAUCACCCACCCUCCUUGAGGGCUGCCUCUGAUUCAGGUCAGAAGUCUAACUGUAAGUCCUUCACUUGACCCCAUAGCCCCACCCUUGGACCUACAAGGUUUUUUUAGACCCAAUUGGGCUAUCACACCGCUUCCUGACUGCUUCACCCACCUUCCCUUCAGAGCGGCCUUAAUUCUCACAGCUCCUGUGGAACCUCUUGGCUUCUGUGACUCCAAUACUUUCCUGUGGAUGAGGAUACUCCUCCAGCUCAGUUUCUGACCUUACCUUCUGGCCUCCAAAAAAGCCCUGGUACUGAGUCUCUCUUGAGUGCAGCAAUCCAGGAAUGGAUCACUUGGGUCUUCCUCUGGUGCUCCCUGAACUCUGGGGAUGCACUGGACUGCAUGUUACUGUGACAUUUUCCCUUCCUCUCUCACCAUGGGAAGUGUCUUCCAUCGCCUCAUUCUUCCUCGGGAAAACCUCCAGCCUCCCCACCUGAUGCCCAAUACGAAGGGCCCUAAAUGUAUUUGCUUUUGUAAUAAAAUUUGGCUUCGACAUCUAUUAGACAAUCGAUCCAAAGGGCCACCCAAGGCACUAGAUCCUAAUAUUAUUUGAGACCGUUACAAAUGCUGUGCGCUAACAGGAAGAUGGACAUUCCCUACUUUUUUCUCAGCUCCAAGCCCUGUUUGUUUUUGUCUGGUCUCCCCAGCACACACACAAAUGUUCUGUCUUUUUUUUUUUUUUUUUCUUUUUUUCAGAGCUGGGAA